CACUCCUACGGGAGGCAGCAGUGGGGAAUUUUGGACCAUGGGCGAAAGCCUGAUCCAGCAAUGCCGCGUGAGUGAAGAAGGCCUUCGGGUUGUAAAGCUCUUUUGUCAGGGAAGAAACGGUGAAAGCUAAUAUCUUUUGCUAAUGACGGUACCUGAAGAAUAAGCACCGGCUAACUACGUGCCAGCAGCCGCGGUAAUACGUAGGGUGCAAGCGUUAAUCGGAAUUACUGGGCGUAAAGCGUGCGCAGGCGGUUUUGUAAGUCUGAUGUGAAAUCCCCGGGCUCAACCUGGGAAUUGCAUUGGAGACUGCAAGGCUAGAAUCUGGCAGAGGGGGGUAGAAUUCCACGUGUAGCAGUGAAAUGCGUAGAUAUGUGGAGGAACACCGAUGGCGAAGGCAGCCCCCUGGGUCAAGAUUGACGCUCAUGCACGAAAGCGUGGGGAGCAAACAGGAUUAGAUACCCCGGUAGUCCCAUG
rnacentral:rRNA from 1 species